GAACAUUAAAUCGAACUAUAUCAGAGCACAAAAUUCGGGCUCAGCGGCCAUCCAAGCGGACAAUUUAAAGUUUUCAAACCUCCACGCUACGCAGCGAGCGCGUCCUAAGAGACCCCAGAACGCGAAAACCGGCCGCACAGAGCAUAAGGUGAUUGCGUCAGCUGAUUUAAAGCUUGGCACGAAUAAUGCAGAAGUGUGCUGACGAAAGCUAAGGCUAGGUAUUGUAAGCAAGAUACGUACAGCGACGUGAGGCGGACAACCGCAUCCGGAUCCGUGGGCUGGCAGGCAACGCAACGUGCAUACCCAACCCAAGCUUUGCGUGGUUAUGCCUGCGUAAGGUGCACAUCUGCUGGAAUAAGCUGAUGGAUAUGCGGAAGCCCGAUAGCCCCAGCCGAUAAUUUCGCCAUCAUAACCCCCCAGGUGUAGUAGCUGGUACACAGUACGGCACACGUAACCUCUACAAAUACGCGCUAAGCGCGACCGCCAGCAUCUCGAGCGGCCUUUUCGGCGGCCAGCUACUACACCAGGUUGCUUCCCAUCCGACCCGAAAUCCGAUGGACCCGUGCUCAGCCUCCGGUGAGCCCAUGCAGCCCUAUGCAGCCAUAAAUAAGCUGCCGCCUAAACCCCGGCAAACUCCGGGCCCUCCGGAAUUGGCCUGCUAGCAAUCCAAUCGACUUACGUAACGGCUCUACUCUUCGUGAGUCUGGAGCCCACUGUAACAACCACACACGUGACAAGUGUGGCAUGCCGGCCCAUAUAUCAUACUUCACAGCUGCUAGGAACCGGAAGUCCAUAGCCAUUCUGUCCAUAUCAAUCUGUCAUCAAACUCGCCGUGCA
rnacentral:lncRNA from 1 species